AUUGAACGCUGGCGGCAGGCCUAACACAUGCAAGUCGAGCGAGCGGCGGACGGGUGAGUAAUGUAUGGGGAUCUGCCCGAUAGAGGGGGAUAACUACUGGAAAAGGUGGCUAAUUCCGCAUACUAUCGGAUGAAGCCACAUGGGAUUAUCUAGUAGGUGGGGUAAAGGCUCACCUAGGCGACGAUCUCUAGCUUGUCUGCGAGGAUGAGCAGCCACACUGGGACUGAUACACGGCCCAGACUCCGACGGGAGGCAGCGGUGUGGAAUAUUGCGCAAUGGGGGCAAGCCUGAUGCAGCCAUGCCGCGUGUAUGAAGAAGGCUUUAGGGUUGUAAAGUACUUUCAGUGGAUAGGCGUUACCCGCAGAAGAAGCACCGGCUAACUCCGUGCCAGCCGCCGCGGUAAUUC
rnacentral:rRNA from 1 species